GACGAACGCUGGCGGCGUGCCUAAUACAUGCAAGUCGAGCGGACCGAAGGGAGCUUGCUCCUUUAGGUUAGCGGCGGACGGGUGAGUAACACGUGGGCAACCUGCCCUGCAGACUGGGAUAACUUCGGGAAACCGGAGCUAAUACCGGAUAACACCGAAAACCGCAUGGUUUUCGGUUGAAAGGCGGCUUUUAGCUGUCACUGCAGGAUGGGCCCGGGGCGCAUUAGCUAGUUGGUGAGGUAACGGCUCACCAAGGCGACGAUGCGUAGCCGUCAUGAGAGGGUGAGCGGCCACAGUGGGACUGAGACACGGCACAGACUCCUACGGGAGGCAGCAGUAGGGAAUCUUCCGCAAUGGACGAAAGUCUGACGGAGCAACGCCGCGUGAGCGAAGAAGGUCUUCGGAUCGUAAGGCUCUGUUGUCAGGGAAGAACAAGUACCGUUCGAACAGGGCGGUACCUUGACGGUACCUGACGAGGAAGCCACGGCUAACUACGUGCCAGCCGCCGCAGUAA
rnacentral:rRNA from 1 species